rnacentral:lncRNA from 1 species
UGGAGGGAAGUCUUGUGCUUAUGGGAAUUCUUGUAGGAGCCAAAGCUGCAUGAGAAGCCAUGGCUAAAAAAAACAAAUGGUCUUUAACAAAAACUUCUUAAAUCCUUUGCAAUAUAUAUACAUAUAUAUAUAUAUAUAUAUGUACACUUUAGAUUAUUUUUUUUUGCUUAAGUUUUUAAAUUGUUAAAGUUCAAGUUUGGUUGCAAUUGAGGUUCAAAGGAAUGAGUGGUGCAUCAUCAAGAUUGAUAAGAGAUAAGAUGAUCUAUGUCCUCAUGUAUAUGUAUGUAUUUUCCACCUUCCAUCAUCAACAAUCUCAACCACAGAUUGUUGGAAAAUUUUCAUUUUAUCCUCUUUACCAUAAUUGUGGGAACAAAUCAAAACAUCCAUCCCAUCAUUUUACAGUGAGGAAAUGCAUGACAAAGAACCAAAUGAUAGCAACAUAUGACAUGUUGUUACUAUAGGAGGCUAGUCUAGUAUAUGUGCAUUAGUUUAUUUCAGAAAGAAUGAUAUUUUUAUAUGUUAAAAAACCUCACUAUAUACUCUGAAUGACAUGAUUUUAUAACUAUCGAAGUGUCAUGACUUGUUAAAACAUAACAAGUUUCGACUAUGAGGUCUUAGGUUUAGAUCUCCAUCUAAUGAUUUCUUCUCAUCCAUCUAAACCUUGAUGGAUAGAGUUAUCUGGUACUUGUGCUGAUGGAAGAUAGCAGAAACCUCGUGAAAUUUGUCAAGAUGUGAACAAACUAGCUCAAACACCACAAUUAUAAAAAAUGAAAAAGAAACAUAAAUUUCAAAAAAAAAAAUCUUUUUUGAAUUACAUGUUCAGUGGAAUGCCCAUCUAUUUAUUAUUUAGUACUAGUUCUGGCUAACUUUAGAACUAGUACAAGAAUAA